rnacentral:lncRNA from 1 species
CAUGUGAGUGUCUAAAGAGGGAACAUAAAGUACUUACGGGGGUAUGGAUGGACCAAGAGCUAGUUCAUUUCCAGUUCUAUAGUCUCUUGUAUUUUCAGGACCUGGCAAGAAAAACUAAAUGUAUAUCACAAAUGAGAGGAAAAAAUAAUUCGAAAAAUCGCUAUGGCGGGUUCCAAAUUCCAGCAAUAUUAGUCCAUCUAUGAUGAUGCCUCAAAGAUUAAAGUUGUGAUUUCUCAUAAUAUGUUUCUCUCUCUUUUAACACUCUCCAAAAUGCAUACUUUAACAAUUGUAGCAAUAUUUAUUUACUGAACUACAAAUGUAUAAUGCUAAGAAUAAGUAGCAAUGCACCAUGUGCAUUCGUGAGAAUUUCACAAGAAGAUACUGCUAACCAAGUUUGCAACACAAUUUAUGUACAAAGAGUACCUCUUCCAUAAGAUUUAUUUCUAUAGAGAAGAGUGAAACCACACUUCUUGCAAAUGAAAGAAAAUUACAGUUGAAGAUACUAAAAACAGUAUAUGAGAUGAUUGCCAGGAAGGAAAGAAUCGUGCAGAGCAAGAUCCAGAUUUCCGUUUUCACAUGCUAUAGGGUCAUGGAUGGUGAUUAAUUUUGUUCCAUCUGGAAAGAUCCCCUCUACCUAAAUUACAUUACGACUGAAUAGUCACCAGCUACCUUGAACUGCAGAUGAACAUGACAAAAAGAAUCAUCAAAGACAGAGAAAAUGGGGCAUCCGUAGUACCUGAACACAAUCCAACAGUUGGAAGAUCGAACUUGUCUCCUGAAAACCAAAAAGUUAAUUGUAAUCCCACUGAUCUUCGUCAAAAGCAUCAAGUCAUUCAAAUAAUUAUAUUCUUUGAGGCAUUUCGGUCCACUCAAAUUGAUUUCACCUACGAUCGAGUAACAUCAGUACUCACGAUGCACUCUUUACAUCAUCCAUAUUUAUUAAUUGAUUCCCUUCUUCCAUUUUCUAGGUGCAUGACUUUUUCACUUCCUCGUGCCAAGGCAGUCAUAUUCUUUACAAUUAUACAUUUCCCUUUAUGAUUUCUUCCUUCUAUUCACAGAAGACAGUAAGCAGGUUUAUUACAGGAAGAAUUUCAAUAAUCCAUUCACAAUAUAGAAGGGAAAAGAAGGCAGCUGCAAAAUCAACUAUCGCAAAUUGACCAAGUCAUAUACCCAAAUUACUUACUUACAGAAAGUGAUGAUCGAUGCUCUCGUUGGUAUAGCUUUUAUAUAUCCGAGAGAAUCUGUUUCUGGUCACUGUAAACACAGGGGAUCAGUUCCUAACAAUUAACACCGGGACUCACAAAUCUGAAAUGAAAUGUCAAUGACUCCAAAUAUACAUAACAAUCUAGCAUAACCAAACCAUUGACAAGCAUUAGACUUGAACAACAGGAAUACACAUUGCUUGCAUUCUUUCUAGUGUGCUAUUGAGGUGUGACCGAAUUAAGAUUUUAAUUAAUUUGAAUAAUAUUGAGAGUAAAAUCUAAUUGAUCAAAGCUAGAGUUGUCUUUCUAACUAAAUUAAGUAAUAUGUCAGAUCAUGGAACGUUUCAUGAAACUGGUGGUGCUAUGUACGUUAAGAAUGAAUAAUGUUCUCUAUAAGUGUUGACUCAAAGAAAAAGGGAAGAGAAUUAGAAAAAUGAGUUUCUCCAUUCCAAUUCAGGUAUGACAUGACCCAUCCUGGUUCCAGCUCGGUUUCAGGCUUGGCCAAUUCAAACUAAAAACAUGUGCAGACCUGAUGAACCAAUUUUAGUAUUUAAGUGGAAACGAAUAGCAUUGAAGCAGUAGACUAUAUUAUUCAUUGAGUUUAGAAGCUGACUAUAUACACUAUAAAGGCGAUGUAAAGAGACUCUGUACGUAAAACAAACGCAAAAUUGCACAAAAUUUCAAUGCUUAAGUGUGGUUUUGUACACACAAAUGGAGUUCCUAUAUUGUCCGCAUAUUUACAAACACAGAAAAUGGAGCUAUAAACUGACCCCAAAAUAGAAAAUUAAAAAAGAACUCUUGUCUCUAAGGUAAGAGAUGCAGAAAUCCACAAAAAAUCUGCAAAUUGAGAAAUGCCUAUAUAUCGGGAUUAAAAAAAAGGAUAUUUACAAUGGAAACGAACCAAUUGCGAUGUGUUGACAUCAAUUUUCAUCUUUUUCCUCUGUUUUUCUUAAUCUUUUCGAUCAUUAUCCUAAUUAUAUCCACAUCCAAGCUUAACUAUUUGAAGCAAACACAAGAAGGAAACAUGAGAAGAAACAACGUGUGUCUAGUUUGUGUUGGAAAGAGUUGGGUUAGCUAAAGUUUUUCAUCAGUCUCAAUUUUCAGCUCCUUUUUAUCUCAUGCGAGAUAAUUAUUCCGCAAUUAUUUGGGUUUUUCAUUUCCUAACUUUGCUUUCUACUGUUUGCUUUUGCAAUUUGUUUGCAUUCCACUAAUUAUAUUUUUAUUCGAUAUUCUGAUUUUUUUGUUUGGACCAUUGUUUUCUGAUGGGUAUUAUUUUUCUCGUCUUGUGUUUCUCUGUUAAUUUCAUGCUAUGUAUUUUUGCGUUCGAUUGAGAGUAUAGGAUAGCAAGAUAAAGCUCAAAAAUACACACAAGCAAGCUUCAAAAUCCAGAAAAGUCCAAAGUUAAGAAAAGAGUAGGUAAGAAGAUGGAAAAAAAAUCCAAAAUUGAAGAAACUCAAACCCACCACAGAGUAGAGGGGAAAACAGGAGGGGUCAAGAGGUGCCAAAAAAAUUGUUGGAUACAAAGAAAGCACCAAAUAUUGCAAAAUCAAACAGAAGCAGAGUUAAGAAAUCAAAAUCAAUACAAAUGUAAAGUAUGCUCACCUGGACACAACUAUGAAGUCGACAAAAGUGCAAAGAGAAGAACAGGAGAGAGCAGAUGGUGACACUUGGUGGUCAGCAAUGGAGGUGACGUUAGGAUUGAUGAGGAAAUUGAAUGAAAGGUGUC